CAGAAAGUAGUUUAUUUAAAAUACCAGCUUUGGGAGCUGGAGAGAAAGGUUUAAAGUCCUUUCUUUCUGA
rnacentral:tRNA from 1 species